CUACCAUGGCGAUCACGGGUAACGGAGAAUUAGGGUUCGAUUCCGGAGAGGGAGCCUGAGAAACGGCUACCACUUCUAUGGAAGGCAGCAGGCGCGUAAAUUACCCAAUCCUGACUAAGGGAGGUAGUGACAAGAAAUAUCGAAUCGGGUGUAUACACACUGCGAGUUUGAAAUGAGAACAACCUAAAAAACUUAACGAGGAGCGAUUGGAGGGCAAGUCUGGUGCCAGCAGCCGCGGUAAUUCCAGCUCCGAUAGCGUAUAUUAAAGUUGUUGCAGUUAAAAAGCUCGUAGUUGAACUUCUAAAGCUAGGAUAGUCGCCAAUCGGUUUGACAUGUCCUUCUUUAUCCGCUUUGAUUUAGCAAUACGCACUUUGUUGGGCGAUUGUGUAAUCAAGCAAUUUACUUUGAAAAAAUUAGAGUGUUUCACGCAGGCGAUUUGCUGGAAUACAUUAGCAUGGAAUAAUAGAACACGACCUCUUAGGCAUUUUAUUGGUAUAUGACUGGAGGUAAUGAUUAACAGGGACAGUUGGGGGCAUUAGUAUUGCAUUGUCAGAGGUGAAAUUCAUUGAUUAGUGCAAGACUAACUUAUGCGAAAGCAUUUGCCAAGGAUGUUUUCAUUAAUCAA
rnacentral:rRNA from 1 species